rnacentral:rRNA from 1 species
CGGGGUGCACCAGGCGCGAAACCUCUGCAAUAGGCGAAAGCCUGACAGGGUUACUCUGAGUGAUUUCCGUUAAGGAGAUCUUUUGGCACCUCUAAAAAUGGUGCAGAAUAAGGGGUGGGCAAGUCUGGUGUCAGCCGCCGCGGUAAUACCAGCACCCCGAGUGGUCGGGACGUUUAUUGGGCCUAAAGCAUCCGUAGCCGGUUCUACAAGUCUUCCGUUAAAUCCACCUGCUUAACAGAUGGGCUGCGGAAGAUACUAUGGAGCUAGGAGGCGGGAGAGGCAAGCGGUACUCGAUGGGUAGGGGUAAAAUCCGUUGAUCCAUUGAAGACCACCAGUGGCGAAGGCGGCUUGCCAGAACGCGCUCGACGGUGAGGGAUGAAAGCUGGGGGAGCAAACCGGAUUAGAUACCCGGGUAGUCCCAGCUGUAAACGAUGCAGACUCGGUGAUGAGUUGGCUUUAUGCCAACUCAGUGCCGCAGGGAAGCCGUUAAGUUUGCCGCCUGGGGAGUACGGUCGCAAGACGGAAACUUAAAGGAAUUGGCGGGGGAGCAC